AUGUUGCUGUUACCUGUAAGAUCUUUAUUGUGGAAAAUGUUUUCCCCAGAUGAUCUUUCAGGUUUCAGAGGCAUGGACACAGAGCUGAAAGUGAGUGGCAGAGGUCAUAUCCCGGCAUCGGAUUCCUUGCCAGAGGGAAAAAAUGCCAUCCUCGAAGGCAGCUAUAGAAUCAUCAUCAUAUGGAAUUCUAGAUACAGGCCUGCAAAGAUGUCUAUACUUGUAUUCAAAGAUCUAGGUAAUCUUCAUUGGAAAAAGUGGCAUAUCUUAUGAAAAGUAUUCUUCCUUGGAUGAAAGGACUAGGAGAAAGCCCUGCAACCCCACGAGUCCGCCCGUUUGUUGAAAUCAGUUCAAGAUCAUCCAGGUCUGCAAAACUCGGCUGAAGCAGCUUGUUGCAUAAUUUACCAGAGAAAAGAGGGCCAUCUGGAGAGCCAAUCUGGAGAACUCGAGCAAAGGCAGAGUCUUUUUUUUUCCCCUCUUAAGUUAUCCUGAUUGACUCCCUGCCUAUAUUGGGCCUCCGCAGUGCUUGGCCUGCAUCCUGAAAGAUGGCAGUCCAGGUCAAAGGCCUUGGCCUCCUGGCUUUGAACCCUAGCAAAGCAUUGCCCGGCCCACCACUCCUAGUAGCCCCACCUACCAUAGCUGUGCAAGGUUCUCAGUCACCUCCCACCUGUCUUACCCCAUGACAUUGUGGGGGCCUGUGUCAUUCCCAAGGACAGCUGGUUUACGCAUAUGCAGAGGAGGCAGCUACCCACAAAGGGAUGUGGGAAAGCUCUUUCGAAUUAAAAAAAUAAAAUAAAAAUAAAAAAUAAAAUGAAAGAAAGAAAUCUGCCUUAACUUCCAGUUAAGGAGUAAGUCAUUUCUUCCACAAAGAUUAAAUCCUUUGUGUUAAAGCAAUCUCUUUCUUUUUAAAGCCUGUGAGAGAUUUUAUAGGGUAGUGAACACGAUAAACGAUUACCAGAGAAUACCAUUUUCUCAAUGAUUGAGGUAAUAUUUUAAGAGGCAUAAGAGUUUCUAUAGAAUAUUCGUUCCACAGAACCUGGGGAAGAGGCUGAGAGGCUGGGGAGGAGGCCAACUCCUUUCAACCAGCUCUACGUGCCCCGUCUGCAGUCCCAUUCUGUCCCCUGAACUUGGCUACCCUGGACUCCAGGUGCCACCUAUGUGCCGGCUAUAGCUAAUUUGUAGUGAUUUCCUGAAACGUUCCACUGAGCAGCUUUCUGGGCCGGAAAAGAAAUAGCACAGACUUCAGAUUUAUGAGGUCUGUCACAAGUAUGGGAUGAAAGAAGUGCCAGGAAUUUUCCAACCCUGUGCUAGCCACUUUUCUUGGUCUCCAGUGCUCUAAUAUGAUCAUAGGUAAAGGUAGUCAAUGUUCGUCCUAGGAUUCAGCCAGUUAAAAAUAAAAUAAUUGACAGUCUGACAUUGGAUUAGUUACAUAACUUUCCAGGCUUAAUUUCUCAUCUGCAUGAUAGAAAUAACAAUAUUUAUCUGACUAGGUUUUUAAAACUCUGGUACAUGUAUAUGUCUUGCCACAUAACUAUAUGUCCAAUUAAAAAGUGUUUUCUUUUUCUUUCUUAUGUGACUUAAAAUGCAUGAGUUUCACACAAACCAAUUUUACAGGUUCAGCAGUGUAGAAUUUCCUGUGUGUGUACCUCGAGGGUACUAAAGUUCAGGCUCCAGGGCUCUGUCUCUUGAAUGGCAGGGCACCUUCAGCUUCCUUUUCUGCCAAAACCUUGAACUCGUGCGUGUGGAGCAGGGGAAGGAUUUGUGCAGUCUUGCAUGGACGUCCACAGUGCCUCAGCUGAACAAUGUUUUAAUUAUGGCCUUUCCGUCUCAACUGCACCUGCCCAUUUCACUAUCAGAAAGAAAAAUCUCCCCUUUCUUCCUCGCUUCACUCUUAUCCUUUAGAACCAUGAUUGUUUUGCCGAAAUAGAUAUUGACUAGAGAAGGACAAACCUCAAAGGUUUUGGAUUAAGUUCUCUUUCCGAUAAACAUGAUGGAGUUCAAAUGCUCUGGGGAAUCUUAUUUAAGCUAUCUUAACCUUUGGGGCCCAUGAAAACUGGAAGAAAAAUGUCUUUCUUGCCACUUUCUUUGGUAUGCUACCAUUAGAAGAAACCACGCUGUAAGCACAGGUCAUUCCAAGGCUUUUAGCUGCAACUCUUUUGUGAUGUAUUUUGAAAUCCUAGGGAGACGAUACUUGUAUACCUGCAAAUUAUGAAUAAUAAACUAAUCUUUG
ensembl:lncRNA